rnacentral:rRNA from 1 species
UACAGAGACUGCAAGCGUUGUUCGGAUUCAUUGGGCGUAAAGCGUACCGAUAGGUGGUUAUACAAGUCAGAAGUGAAAUCUCCGAGCUCAACUCGGAAUCUGUCUUUUGAAACUGUAUGACUAGAGGGGCAAAGAGGAAGCUGGAACGAACGGUGUAGUAGUGAAAUGCGUUGAUAUCGUUCGGAACACCAAUAGCGUAGGCAGGCUUCUGGGUGCCACCUGACACUGCUAGGACGAAAGCGUGGGGAGCGAAUGGG